rnacentral:rRNA from 1 species
UUCUGGUACGAUGCGCCUGAUCCGCGGCGAAUACCCUUGUGAGUAUCGGAGCGCGUCUGCCAUCCUUCCGGGGACUGUCUCUACCUUUCACUAGGCUGGAGUCAUGAUCCGGAUCGUUUACUUUGAAAAAAUUAGAGUGUUCAGAGCAGGCCUUUGCUAUGAAUACAUUAGCAUGGAAUAAUGAUCUAGGACUUCGGUUCUAUUUUGUUGGUUUCUAGCACUGAAGUAAUGAUUGAUAGGGAUAGUUGGGGGUGCUAGUAUUGGGCGGUCAGAGGUGAAAUUCUUGGAUUCGCUCAAGACUAACUUAUGCGAAAGCAUUCACCAAGGAUGUCUUCUUUAAUCAAGAACGAAAGUUGGGGGAUCGAAGAGGAUCAGAUACCCU